rnacentral:rRNA from 1 species
UACGUAGGGUGCAAGCGUUAAUCGGAAUUACUGGGCGUAAAGCGUGCGUAGACGGUUACGUAAGUCAGAUGUGAAAGCCCCGGGCUCAACCUGGGAAUUGCAUUUGAGACUGCGUAGCUAGGGUGCGGAAGAGGGAAGCGGAAUUUCCGGUGUAGCGGUGAAAUGCGUAGAUAUCGGAAGGAACACCAGUGGCGAAAGCGGCUUCCUGGUCCAGCACCGACGUCAGGCACGAAAGCGUGGGGAGCAAACAGG